rnacentral:sRNA from 1 species
ACAAUUACAUUUGGGUCUAAUCCCCUAGAAAACCCAGGAGGAAGAUACACUGCUGGAAGCGAGUGAUAAAAACCAGACCUCUUCAAAGAUAGUAUGUAUGUGUGUUUAUAUAUGUAAUAUUAUGUGUAUGUGUAUGUAUACAUCCAUAUUUAAAAUAUUAUAAUGGCCUACAGGCUGUGGUCUGGCCAGUUCUAGCAAUAGCUGUUCAUGGGAAGGCCAAGAACCUGGCAGUUGUUCCAUCCACGAGGCUGGUUGUCUCAGCUGGGCUCCCAGAGAAGUCAUGACUUUGCUAGGGAGCGUGAGGGCAAGCUGGCAGAAGGCAUGACCUAGAUUUAGGGAAGACCGUCUUCCGUCUUCAGAUGAUCCAAUCAAGAAGAACCCCUUGCAGGUGUGCCGUGCCCUGUGUGGGUUUCAGUUGACUCCAGGUGCAGUCAUUGACAUAGGGAUCCGCAGGCAACUCGGCCUUGCAGGGCUGCUUACCAGAGUUGAUUGUUUACUGGCAGAGGGCAUGGGACCUUAAUCAGAUCAGAUUCAUCUUGUGAUUUUCCACUAGGAGGGACACACCGUGUGUUUUUGCUGAAGCUUGGUGCCCAGACUCCCACAACCUGAAGGUGGUCAAGAAAGUCUUCCAACUUGGCCAGCAGUUACACUCCCAAGUUGCAGAGAUCACGGCACAGCACCAUUUGUGAAGUCUGAGGGACGAUCAGGACCCACUGUUCAAAAAGAAACCUUUUGAAGCACAAGAAGAAACCUCCUCAACACCGUAUUUAGCUGUAGGAAAGUGAGUAUUUGUUUAACCAAACAGAUCACAAAGUUGCAAACACUGGAUUUACAAGACAGAUGGUGCACACUUGGCCAUGUAUGUGACACAGUAUAUGAGACACUAAAAAUGGCAGGACAACAAUUAAGCCAGAGGACAAACACUACAAGUGAACAAAGCCACCAAAAUUCAAAGCAGCAGCAAGCAUCAGUUGUUGAGAAAUGUAAAUCAGAGCAACUUAGGCACAGAACACCUCACUCCCCAUGUAGGAGGCUCCUCUUCAAGCUGGGUGGAAGAGCUCAAUGCCAACAGGCCCAGCGGCAUGCUGACACACAACUGCUUUGACCCACGUCUGCUCUGUCCCACCUGCAGGACAUCCUGUGAUGGAAAUGUUGGUCUAGGAUGAACGCCUAGGAGGCUGCAGGACAGGACAGGUCAGAGAGUAAAGUGCAGAAGGAGGACCUGAGUUUGGACCCCUAGCUGUAGUGUAAAGUUUGUCACAAUGGCGCACAUCUAUAAUCCCAGCCAGGGGUGGGCUGGGGAGGAGGACAGGGGAUCCUGGGGACAUGCUUGCCCACGAGCCUGGCUGAAAUCAGUGUAGUGUUGACCACAUGUGUAGACACAGGCUAACAGUGGGCAUGUGUACACACACAUGAAGACAAGCCAGAGGGGAGGUCACUCAGUCUUGUGGCAAUAGAGAAGGAGGUACAGAGCCCAUGAUUCUGAAGUUCAGAGCCGGCAGAAGUUGGCACAACUUUCACCAGAUUCUGAAAUACAUUUUAAACUCGUUCUUGCCAUCCAUGCUCAAAAAGCUUUAAAUAGUUUUUAUUCACCCUCACAAGUGUCUUGUUCUUUUCAUGCUCCUUGUCCCAACAGCAUCUUCAGAUGAAGUAAGCACAAGGAUGGGCAGCCCCAGCUGUGACCGUGUGGCCAAUGACGGGGGCACAGCACAGAACAGCCGCCUCCCCACUUUCAGGGCCUGCUGCAUUUUUCUGUUUAAAUGAGUGCCCAGUGCUCAGGCAGGAGGAGACGCUGGGCAGAUGGGCUGACACGGAAGCCACGUGGCUGUGCUCUGGAGUACACGAGAGCGUGCAAGUCCACUGGUAAGAUCCUUACUCUGCUAAUGUCAUCGGCAGUAAAACUGACAGCUCAGCGCACACUGUCUGCAGCUCAGAGCCUAGAGGGUCCUGACUGUUGUCUAUGCUCGGCCCAGGGACUGG